rnacentral:rRNA from 1 species
GUGGGGAAUAUUGGACAAUGGGCGAAAGCCUGAUCCAGCAAUGCCGCGUGAGUGAUGAGGGCCUUAGGGUUGUAAAGCUCUUUUACCCGGGAUGAUAAUGACAGUACCGGGAGAAUAAGCCCCGGCUAACUCCGUGCCAGCAGCCGCGGUAAUACGGAGGGGGCUAGCGUUGUUCGGAAUUACUGGGCGUAAAGCGCGCGUAGGCGGCUUUGUAAGUCAGAGGUGAAAGCCUGGAGCUCAACUCCAGAACUGCCUUUGAGACUGCAUCGCUUGAAUCAUGGAGAGGUUAGUGGAAUUCCGAGUGUAGAGGUGAAAUUCAUAGAUAUUCGGAAGAACACCAGUGGCGAAGGCGACUAACUGGACAUGUAUUGACGCUGAGGUGCGAAAGCGUGGGGAGCAA